rnacentral:rRNA from 1 species
UUCGGAAUUACUGGGCUUAAAGAGUUCGUAGGCGGCUUGGAAAGUGGGGUGUGAAAGCCCUCGGCCUAACCGAGGAAUUGCGCUCCAAACUACCGAGCUUGAGUAGGCUAGAGGUGAGCAGAACUGAUGGUGGAGCGGUGAAAUGCGUUGAUAUCAUCAGGAAUACCGGAGGCGAAGGCGGCUCACUGGGACCUAACUGACGCUGAGGAACGAAAGCUAGGGGAGCAAACGGG